rnacentral:rRNA from 1 species
GAUGAACGCUGGCGGCGUGCCUAAUACAUGCAAGUCGAACGAACGGCCGAUAAGUUCGCUCCUCUGAUGUUAGCGACUGACGAGUGAGUAACACGUGGAUGGCCUACCUAUAAGACUGGGAGAGCUUCGGGAAGGAGAAGAUAGUAACGGACAAUAUGUACAUCGGCAUGGUUCAAAAGUGAAAGACGGUCUUGGUGUGACUUAUAUAUGGAUCCGCGCUGCAUUAGCUAGUUGGUAAGGUAAGGGCUUACCAAGGCAACGAUGCAUAGCCGACCUGAGAGGGUGAUCGGCCACACUGGAACUGAGACACGGUCCAGACUCCUACGGGAGGCAGCAGUAGGGAAUCUUCCGCAAUGGGCGAAAGCCUGACGGAGCAACGCCGCGUGAGUGAUGAAGGUCUUCGGAUCGUAAAACUCUGUUAUUAGGGAAGAACAUAUGUGUAAGUAACUGUGCACAUCUUGACGGUACCUAAUCAGAAAGCCACGGCUAACUACGUG